CUUCCCCUUCGUUGUCGUUUUCGCCAUUUUUUUCGUCGUUUCUGUUGGUUUCUCCGUUAAUAAAGCCCGACUCUUGCCGUUUGGAGACAUCGAUCGACUUCGGACCUGACGAGUCAUGUUGAAUAACAAGUUAAAACAAUUCAAAAUUUUCUUUUAAGGAGAAUACAGGAGGAAUUAGAAAAUGGGUUUCUCAGAUUCCUUAGGAUUUUCCGGGAAAAGAGUUCCCCGAUCAACCAUUGUGAUUGUGGUGCC
rnacentral:misc_RNA from 1 species